GACGAACGCUGGCGGCGUGCCUAAUACAUGCAAGUCGAACGCUGAAGCCCGAGCUUGCUCUUCUGGAUGAGUUGCGAACGGGUGAGUAACGCGUAGGUAACCUGCCUGGUAGUGUGGGAUAACUAUUGGAAACGAUAGCUAAUACCGCAUAACAGUUGAUGUUGCAUGACAUUUACUUAAAAGUUUCAAUUGCAUCACUACCAUAUGGACCUGCGUUGUAUUAGCUAGUUGGUGGGGUAACGGCUCACCAAGGCGAGGAUACAUAGCCGACCUGCGAGGGGGAUCGGCCACACUGGGACUGAGACAGGGCCCAGACUGCUAGGGGAGGCAGCAGUAGGGAAUCUGCGGCAAUGGACGGAAGUAUGACCGAGCAACGCAGCGUGAGGGAAGAAGGGUGUCGGAUCGUAAAGCACGGUUGUAAGAGAAGAACGAGUGUGAGAGUGGAAAGUUCACAAUGUGACGGUAUAUUAACAGAAAGGGACGGCUAACUACGUG
rnacentral:rRNA from 1 species